CUUGUGCCACGGUGGCCCAAAUGUCAGUCAACCAGACAUGUCUUCUGAGAGUUCCCAGGAAUGUGGUGAAGAGCAACUGUAAGCGAUAAGAUUGUUCCCAGCGCUAAUAAAACUUUGGAGUUAAUUAACUGAGAAGAAGGUAAAAUGAAAUGUUGUUAUGAGGGCUAAAGUUGUUUUUCUACCUUUUUGAAAAUUAUUUUUUAUCUGUUGAAAUUAUAAUAUAAUUAUCAUCUCUCCUUCUUUUUGCUCCCCUCUCAGAAAUUAACAGCCUUGAGUUGCAGGUGGAAGGUGCAGAAGCCAAAUUAAAAACAGUCUUUUCAGGCUGAGCUCAGGAGCCUGAAUUUCCAUGCUGUAAGUGGCUGGGAUCCACUGGAGGAUUUUAAUUGUGUAAGUUGACAAGAUCAGAUUUGCUAUUCAGAAAGCACACCCUGGCACAGAUCGGUGGGUGGAAUAGAAAGUGGUUGCCCUGGAGACAGGCAGACCCAUUAGGAAGCUCUGACAAAGAUCCAGGAGAGAGAAAAUGAGGAUAGUGGUUGGAGGAAUGAGCAGAUUCAAAGACAUUUUAGAGGUGGAACGGAUGGUCGGGAGACGCUCAUUCAGUGUAAAUGCUGAAGGAAAGGAAGAACCAAGGAGCGCUGUGGUUUCCAGCUUGGAUUUCUAUAUGGAUAGUGAAUAAUUAAUGAAGAUGUGGCGGGCGGGCAUAAUGGGGACUUAAGAGGGAGGUAGUUGUAGAUGGACGUGAUCAAUAUACAUUUGUUUAAAUGUGUAUAACUUUCAAAGAGUAAGAGAAUUAUUAUUUUAAUAGAUCAAGGUAUAAAAUACAAAAAAAAGUCAAAUGGGGGGGGGGGUUUGCUAAUGAAUUCAUAUGUGACCUGUUGAAUUUGAUGUAUCUUUUGGACUUGUAGGUGAAGAAGUCACAUGUGGUGAAUAUAUUAUCAUCAGAAUGCGGAGCAAUGAAAUGUAAACAGAUAGGAAUCGUCACUAAAGCUCCAACUGCAGCCUCCGGGUGCCAUAGCUUUUGCACCAUCCAUUUGCACCAUCUCUGCAUUGCUCUCAAUCACUGCCACGAGUCUGGUGAUGCGCUAAGCUCGGGGCAGGAUCUCAAGGGCUUUGAGGAUGUCUGCAUCAUCUGUAUUGACCUGCUCCCCAGAUUAAUACCGAAGCACUGCAAUUUCUUGAGGAUUAUCCACCUAGGAGGAAAUGAUACGCUGGCCCAUCCAUAGUAGUCAAGGUUUCUUGGAAGAGAAGAAUGAGAUUGGAUCUGAGAAAAUGUGGCUGGGAACCACCAUCUCAGAUGGUAGAAACCACUCAGAAGGAUCAACUGCUGCAGACGGGAAGAGGAGCAACCUCGUGAAUAAUUUCGUGACAGGAUAUUGCAGGAGGGACUUUGUCCAAAUGUGUGCAGGGUAGUUGGCUACAGCAACAAGGAUGACGAACACAGAUGAAUUGAUCAGGAUGUAACCAUUCAAAGUUGAGAGGAUUAGAGGACUUCUCCGAGGCGGCUCCAAUGGAUGCCAGCAGAGUUAAAGUGUCCAAUGGAGAGAAGAGAAGGCUUGGGAAAUCCAGAGUCCAUUCAUUCAUCGCCCUCCUCCUAGAACAACAAAAGCGAGCCCCAGUACUCAUCAGCAUGGACUCUGUGUGUAGUCAUCUCCCUUAGUUUCAGAGGUUCCUGCCUACAGCAAAACUUUAGAGGCUUAGAGUUUAACGGUCAUAGCUUAUUCACCUCCAACUGUGUCCUAGUUCAAGAGAAACACUUCACAUAUCUGUAGGGAGAAGAUAAUGAACCAAGGAUACAAGUUAAGCCUUAGCUAAGACCUGUUACUCAGGAAAAAGAGCUAAAACAAGCUGCUUAGAUCAGCACCAAUGUUAGGUAGAGAGAAAAAGAAACGCUGCAUAGAAAUCUUAAGGUUCACAUGUGCUCCAGGCUGGGUCAACAACUUCUAAUUUCCUUUGCCAACCAACCAUGUCUUUGACAGAAAUGAUCCUUCUACAUAGACCACAGAGGGAUCCAAUGGAGGUUUCUCUUCCUGAAUUUGGGGAUUCAGAAUCUGGACAAAUUCCUUUCCAUCAAAGUCCAGUACAAAAGUAGUACCAUGGCAGUCCCUGCAGGGACUUGCAUCACUUUCCCUAGAGAUAUCAAGAGAAUUUUUAGUGAUAAGAAUAUGGCACAAAAUGAGAAAUCCCAUUACUCUUAAGAGAAUCUCUUCCUUCUCAAAGGCACCUGAUUAAUACAUAUAGUACUAUCAGUAAGGCUGAGCAAAAGGAUACUGAUGUUCUGAGUGAUCUUAAAUCAUGUAAUAAUAACUUUAUUCGUAGUAUAGAACGGAAUAUUCCCUAUUAGUAAUCAGUUCCUUUGCCAGAUCCUCAUAGUAUCUUAGUCACUGUUUUAUUGUUAUGAAGAGAAACUUUGACCACAGCACCUCUUAGAAAAAAGGAAGCAUUUAAUCGGGACUUCCUUAUGGUUUCACAGUUUUACAUAAUUGUCAACAUGGCAGAGAACAUGGGGGCACGCAAACAGACAUGGUGCUGGAGAAGUAGCGGAGAAUAUACAGCAACAUAUAGAUACAAAAUAUAGAUACAUAUAGAUACAGAAUAUAGAUACAUAUAGCUACAUAUAGAUCUGCAGGCAGCAGGAAGAGACUGGGACAAGGCCAUACCUUCUAAGGCUUCUCAAGGAGUGUCACUUCCUGAUGACCAAGCAUUCAAGUGUAUGAGCUUAUGGGAGCCAUUCUUAUUCAAGCCACCACACAUAGCAAAGCUGAUAAUGUCAUUUUCUGAAUUAACCAGGCCAAGGCACACUUCUUAGCAACAUGGUUACCUGGUAACCAGAGAUUUUUCUCAUCCCAUGAGAGAUUUCAUUCAAGAACUGAUCUUCUAACAGUUUUGUCUCUCUUAAGAAUGCUACAGACAGGGUGGGGUGAGGCACAGUGCUGAAGCCCCUCAAGUUUCCCAGAGGGAUGAGUCCAUGAAAGACGAAAAUCAUGUGGUCACACUGAGCAUAGACUUCACAAGCAUCAUGCUAGGAUUCCAUUUUCUUUCUCAACACAAUGAUAAAUUCUUCUUCCAAUAAGCAGAAAAUCAUCCAAUGGGAAAAAAAAAUAAAACCAACUAACUUGCAGUCCUUUGGAACAGUUUCAUAGCUUACAGGAUGGCUUCAUAACCCUGGGGACACUCGUUUUGACAUGAAAACUUCCUUCAGAACAGGAAUUCUGAUCCAACAUGUGCUCAGACAUCAUUUCAGUCACUUGCAAAUGAACAAGAAAGCUCAUGUAAAUGAGGAGGCUCAACUCCCAGGCCUGGUGAGUGGGUAAGACAUUCCUCUGCUGGGUUUUGAAGGCUGUCUGAAACCAUCGGCUGACAUCCUUCUCUGUGUGCAUGUAUGCACUAUCUACGGGAAAUUCAGCUCCAACCGGUUGUCUCUACAGCUCCCUUAAUCUUCUCCUCCCUCCUCCUGGCAUUGGCAUGUGUCCCAGGACUGCAGCGAGGAGUGCUUACCAACAAAGGUGCUGGCAUCUGCAUUUGUUUCACAGCCACAAACCUAAUGGUUCCAUGAUUUUGGCGAGCAAAACUGUCAAAAUGCCUGAGCACAAGAGAUCACAAGAUGAGCCAAGGCAUAGUGUGCAUGCCUUCCUUCCCAGCACUCGGAAGGCAGAGGCAAGGGGAUCUCUGUGGGUUCAAGGCCAGCCUGAAUCACAAGGUGUACUGGGGAUUCUUUUUUAUUGUUUUCCUUUUGCUAUCUGGAAUAGUUUGAGAUUGUAUUUGAUCAGUGCAUUAAACAAC
rnacentral:lncRNA from 1 species